UCGUUUUUGGUUUGUUUUGUAAUACCUUGCUGAAAGCAGCAAGCAAAGCUAACACACAUUAAUGCUCUUUCCAACCCCUUCUCCUAAAGAUGCAGGCUCCGUAGGCAUGUGGUCUGUCCAAGUUAUGACAGGUGGCAAUUUUACCAAAUAUUUUGCCUUUCUGUAGUACUCGUUUCCACUUUUUCCAGCCUGUGUUAUUUAUUUCCUCGCUGCCUAAACUUUGUCAUCUAAGCCAAGGUCACUUGUUUUUGUUUUAGUGUCACUCUGUGUUAAGGUGCCACUCUCUGUGUUAAUCAGGAUGGCACUACCUGCUGUAACCCAUGACCCCUGCCCUGCCAGCUCUGCCUGCCUAACCUGGUGGUCCGUGAGUGCCCCCCUCAGUGGGCAGUUUUCCUUGACCUGGUAACUCAGGGCCCUGGACUCCUGGCAUCAUGCCUCUGCAGCCUUGCUGUCCUCACCUCCAACCAGUGGAUGGGAAUGAGACCAUGAGACCUAGAAGUGACACACGUCACCUCAGCUCCCGUUGCGCUUCUGAGAAGUAGUCACACAACCCCUGGCCGAGCUCCCUGCUCCGGGAGAGAAGCCCAGACUGUGUGUGGAGAGCAGGCUCCCUCCCCCACUGUUCACAGUGAGUCUGCAGCACCCUUUGGUUCCACGUAAGGCCGUCAGCUGCCCGAAGGCUGACUCGAGUGUCUGCUUUCACUCCCAACCUUUUGUCUGUGUAGUGAAGUCAAAUCCCUGAUGUAAAAAUCGACGUUUAAGUCUCAGACUUUCUUGUGUUAGACUUCAUCAUGACAGUGGCAUCUCCAUUAAGAUGGUAAUAGCUUAAGGAACAAUUUAUGGACUAAAACUUUGUAAUGGAAAGUAGAAAUCAUGCAAUUGAUGUUUAGAUGCGCUCUUUAGGAUUCCCUCUCUACUUUGUUGUAUUGUUCUGCUGUGCCUCUCCAGAACAAUUUGUUCCCUGUUAUCUCAAGGUUAAGAGAAUCGUGCUCACAUCCCUCCCACAUUGCUCAGGGAGGCAGCAAAUAGCGAGCAGGCGUGAUGUGGGUGGAACCAGGUUCAACAAAACAUAUGUCGGGAUCCUGAUCCUAGUACCUCAGAAUCUGACCUUAUUUGGAAAUAGGGAUAUUCAUACGUGGUUAGUUAAGAUGAGGUAAUGAGGGCAGGCCCUAAUCGAUAUGAUUGGAGUCCUUCUAAGAAGAGGGGACGUGCUGUGAAGACACACACAGGAGAAUGGCCACGUGAUGACGGACGCAGAGACUGGGGAUGCAGCUGCAGGCUCUGAAAGUCAGGAGGACUCCCUUACACUGGAAAAUCCUGGAAAGUGGUUUCCUCUCUCCCAUCCCUCAAAUGCCACCGCAAUCCUGGAGGGAAACACAGAGAGAACAGAGCUGGGGCGCUCAACACUUUCUCAAAGGAUCUCUAGGAAAGGCCUUAUGGGCAAGAGGCAGAAGAAGGGCUGAGGAGGAAUGGCCCGACACUGUUUUAGGUUGUAAGGAUGGAGCAAUGAACCAGAUGGGUGAGUCCCGGCAGUCGUUGCAUUUAUAUUCUAGGAGGGGAGCAGACAAUACACAGCACAGAAGCUCUGCAGCGUAGCAACAGCCACCUGAGUAAGGAAAAUGACAUGUUGCAGCCUCCCUGGCAGCUUGGUGUGAUCAGGCAAUAAACUUCUGGUCAACAGGAUGUGAGCAGAGUUGUAGGUGCAACUUUCAUAUGAUGUUCUGGAAGAAAGGAGAAUGUCCUUCUUAGCCCCUUCCCUUUCCCAUGGCCUGGAAUAUAGACACAGAGAAGCGACAUCUUGGACUAUGUGGUUGGGGAGACCCUCUCCAUAUGGUAGAGGAAUAAGACAGAAGGAGCCUGGGUCUUUGUCUUUUUGCAGAAACUGUUCAGAUCCUGGACUUCUAAUGUACAGACUGUGAUGUGAGAGGAAAAUAAAUUUCUGUUUUGUUCCAAUCACUGCUAUUUGGCAUCUGUCUUGGAGCAAUGACCCUCUAUCCUAAUUAGUGGAGGAGUGAGAAGAUGAGAGUCAUGCACUAGAAAGAUUCUGCUGAUGGUGGCAGAGGAGAGAACAGAGGCAGGGAAGUUAGAAGGGGAAAACCACCUUAUGUGUUUCUUUUUCAAAGGCUUUGAAGUAGCAAGUCUUGCCUGGUCAAGGGAUUUUUACAGGAAUUCUGAAUUCCAUAGUUAAAUAAAGUAGAGACACACUGAAUUAAACACGAUUCUUUAUGAUAGGUGUGACAGGUGUUUUCAGCACUAAAGAAUAUUAUGCCUCUUUAAAGAGAGGGCUGAAAAUCAAGUGUUCCUCCAACUUAUUUGAAAAUGGGCCCUUUUAUCAUCAAACUUCUAGUAUUCAUGGCUACCAACGUUCUAGGGAACACGGUUCAGGAAACAUGGCCCAGUGCCUAUUCGAUUUAAAGGCAUCCAUCCAGCCCUGUAGAAAUGUUUAAUCUGAGAUAACAUCCAAAUAUAAAUAGUCCAGAAAGCAUUUCACAAAGCAGAGUGUGUGUCAGGUACAAGGACAAAAUAAACACACGCAUGUGCACACACACCCCUUCUCGCAAACUGGAACCAAAAUUGCAGGUGCACCAAACACCACUUGGCAUCAGUUUUUCUCCAUAAGAGUUAAGCUUUCAGUUUUGUUCUUGGACUCAGUGAAGAAGGACACAAGGUACCUCCCUGGCUCCAUGUGGGAAGAGCGUCAUGAGGCAAGUCCUUGAGGAAUGCAAAUGGCGUGCAUCCUAACUCGCAGAGCAAGAGAUUAGGGCACGUGCCGGACGGCCGCCCUGCUCAGGGAGUUCAUGACGAUCCAAGAGGCAGAAGAAUGGAGGAAGAGCAGAGCACGUGAGGUCAGAGGCCCAGGGCUUUGGCCCAGAGAGUGUCUGAUCCUGCAGUAGCGACUGUCCAUGAGUAACCGCAUCCCGAGUAGCACUUACGGGAUCGGAUGGUGGUAUAAAUUGGAUCCACAGUUAACAUCCUCAUUCUCUUCCACGACCAACAUGAGGACAAGUAACUCUAUUUAAACCCUUCAUAGAAAAAUACUUCGUGCAGAAUCCUUCGGGAAGAAAAUGUCCAUUGCGAUCUCAUGCCAAACAUCCCUACACUUUUCUCAACAGUGCAGCUCAUUCUCUGUGCUGGCAAAAGCCAGUUUUCUUUCAUUACUUUGGUCCAUAUUGGCAAAGGAGUUCUUAGGUGCAGAGGAAAUGCACGCAGAGCUGUCACACCACACUUGACACUGUGACGGUGGUGACAAGGUUUUCCCCAGCUGUCAGCUUCAGAAGCAUUGCAUUUCCUUCGAUGCUGCACAGCUCCACAGUGAGAAGUGGCAGCCAAGCCCUUUUAUCUCCUGUAAUGUCUUCAUUAGCAACAGCAGGAAUAAAUUACCUGGGAAAAAGGGUGCAGAAUAAAUGGUAAACACUGUAAGCCAGGGGCUUUAUGUGGAUCUUCUAAGUUAUUUUCUCCCAUUGGACUUGCAUUCUCCAGCAGUAGGAGCUUUGAAUGCUGGAAAGGAAGGAAGAACUUCAUUUCUUCUCUGCAUGCUGGUCACAUGAGACAUGCUCGUCUUCCUGCACGGUUUCCUCAUCUUCCCCCAUGGGCGGGGCCAUUACCCACCUAACAACCCAACCAACGAGUACAAAUUGUGUCUCCAAGUCUAUACAAUGAGAGGGUGACUUCUUUUUAUGGGCCUUGGAGAAAUUCUCAAGAUAAAAGAGAAUCUCUUUCAGGAAUUAAUAGCAAGAUUUCCCAACACUCAAUGGGACACUAUUUGUGUGGAAUGAUGAUAUACAUGCAGAAAAACUUAAGGGUUUCUGGAUCAAAUCUUAGUUUGGAGAACAGGAGUUUGUGUAAAAUUAGUCAGGUUUCCUUUUUUUGUAGGUUUUCUGGAGCUUUUAAUAAGAUGAUACAUACUGUGAAACUUCAAGAGAAAAAGAAAAUAUAUAUAGUUUCCUGAGUUUAUUUCAUCCCAGAAGCCUUUGUUAUGGGCCUAGAUAGUUCCAGGAAACUUCAAUUUUUGGGGGGAAAGGCUAACGGAAUCAGUUAAUCAUCAGCUUUUAUGUCUAAGGAGCACAUAUCUACCAAACACUAAGAUUUCAGGAAAUGCUCAAUAGCCUGGCGCUCUGGCCAGAGUUCACAUUCUUGGUGUGGAGGUUAGGCCUAACACUGUUUUAGCAGAGAAAUGAUUUAAUCCUCGGGACUGGUAAGAAUAUGGCAGUGAAGGUUGCUCCCUCUGAGCCACGGCAGAGAUGGCUGCAGGAUUUGUGCGUUUCCCACCUCACUGGUUGGACUUCUCCCUUCUCUCCUAUUGGAGAGAGAAGACGCACGUGUGCACUAGCGACGAUAAUACAGGGAUAGAACUCAGAACCGUCUCUAAAGUGUGAAAUGGUGAUGCAAAAUGUUGGUGCCUUACUGUUUGACCGACAUCUCACAACUGAGCGUGCUUCUCCAAAAUGGCCCUGUGGUGAUAAGUGAUGGCCCAGAAGAUCCUGAAAGGGAUUUGCAGGAUUCCAAUGGGCUUUUGCUGUCAAUGAGUGUGUGCAUGCAUGCGUGUGCAGGAGUGCAUGUCAAGUUCACAAGCACGUGCAAAAGCACUGGAUUGGAAGGUUGAGAGGAGAAUCCAGAGAAGGAGAAAUAAACCACACUUCCCAAAGUUGUCAAAGCUGGUGAGAAUCUCGGAGACUGCAAUUCUUUUGAAGCCCCUACAGCGCAGUGCACGGGGUGCUGGUUUUCAAAUGAUCAUAGACCAUGGACACUGGGGUUUGGUCUCCUGGAUUUUAGCCAUGUGCUAUAGAGAAGUCUUCACUUGACGUCUUGGAUUUACGGCAUCUGGGAAAAUAUGACAGGCAAUUUUAAAUAUCCUUUUAGCUGUAAGGUCAACUAGGAGUAAUAUUUUGAAAAUAUAAAAUAAAUGUGACAGGCAGCUUAGCAUAGUGAUUAAGAAUAUGGAUUCUAGAUCCAGGCUGAGUUUGAACCUAGUUGUUUAUCUGCUCCAUACCUCAGCUUCUUCAUCACUACAGUGGGAAUGGAAACAGUACCCACCUCAAGGUACUCAGGUUGUCAUAGGAUGAACAGUUCACAUUUGAAAAACUGUGUGAAUAGUGCC
rnacentral:lncRNA from 1 species